rnacentral:rRNA from 1 species
GACGAACGCUGGCGGCGUGCUUAACACAUGCAAGUCGAGCGGUAAGGCCUUUCGGGGUACACGAGCGGCGAACGGGUGAGUAACACGUGGGCGACCUGCCCUCAGCUCUGGGGAUAAGACCUGGGAAACUGGGUCUAAUACCGGAUAUGGACCACGAUGUCGCAUGGUGUGUGGUGGAAAGUUUUUCGGCUGGGGAUGGGCCCGCGGCCUAUCAGCUUGUU